rnacentral:rRNA from 1 species
CAGUAGCCGCGGGAACACGGAGGGAGCUAGCGUUGUUCGGAAUUACUGGGCGUAAAGCGCGCGUAGGCGGUUACUCAAGUCAGAGGUGAAAGCCCGGGGCUCAACCCCGGAACUGCCUUUGAAACUAGGUGACUAGAAUCUUGGAGAGGUCAGUGGAAUUCCGAGUGUAGAGGUGAAAUUCGUAGAUAUUCGGAAGAACACCAGUGGCGAAGGCGACUGACUGGACAAGUAUUGACGCUGAGGUGCGAAAGCGUGGGGAGCAAACAGGAUUAGAUACCCGUGUAGUCCCUGUCUCUUAUAC